rnacentral:rRNA from 1 species
GAUGAACGCUGGCGGCGUGCCUAAUACAUGCAAGUCGAGCGAAUGGAUCAAGAGCUUGCUCUUAUGAAGCUAGCGGCGGACGGGUGAGUAACACGUGGGUAACCUGCCCAUAAGACUGGGAUAACUCCGGGAAACCGGGGCUAAUACCGGAUAACAUUUUGAACCGCAUGGUUCGAAAUUGAAAGGCGGCUUCGGCUGUCACUUAUGAAUGGACCCGCGUCGCAUUAGCUAGUUGGUGAGGUAACGGCUCACCAAGGCAACGAUGCGUAGCCGACCUGAGAGGGUGAUCGGCCACACUGGGAAUGAGACACGGCCCAGACUCCUACGGGAGGCAGCAGUAGGGAAUCUUCCGCAAUGGACGAAAGUCUGACGGAGCAACGCCGCGUGAGUGAUGAAGGCUUUCGGGUCGUAAAACUCUGUUGUUAGGGAAGAACAAGUGCUAGUUGAAUAAGCUGGCACCUUGACGGUACCUAACCAGAAAGCCACGGCUAACUACGUGCCAGCAGCCGCGGUAA